CGGGGAUCACCAAGGGAGAGCAUGACUGACACAGAGUGUGUGACAGAGUCACUGUAUGCGACAGAAGGUGAAGGUGUGGCAAAAGGAAAACGUGCAGAGAGUGUAUGACAGCAAGUCUCAGUUCACUUUCAUCUUUUGGACAGGAGAGGCAAAGAAACAGGGAAGGAGAGGGACAAAAAAGUGAGGAAAGAGGGAGGAAGAAAGAGAGACAGAGAAACUGUGAGAGCAGGAUUGUGCCAAGGAGUAGAAUUAUGAGCAAGAGAGAAGGGAGAGAAUGUAGAGAAGGCGAUGCUUUGUGCGAGGCGGUUUUGGUUUGGGGGGAUUUGGAAGAGGAUGAGAGAGAUUGAGACAGAUUAGGAGAAAUAAAAUAGGGAUUGGGGGAGUUGAGGGCUCAUGAGAGAUGGAAUGUCAGGAGAGACAGAGAAAUGUGAGAAAGGUGGGGAUUGUGAGAGUAGAUGAUGAUUGCGAGAGAAGGGGGUGCUUGUUAGGCAGGUGGGAAAGAGACCAUUUGAGUAUGCUCAUAAGAGAGCAUGUGGAGUGAGUGAGACAGGUACCAGCAUGAGAGGCAGUGUUGGUGAAACCAAGCAGGGCCCUGUGGGGCUCCUGGACACAGAGGCCUUUUUGUCCCCUGUUUCUUGUAGGCAAGGCUCCAGCCACCAUGACCUUCCCUGAGUUCCAAAGGGCAGGUUCAAACAGUUGCUAAUCAAUGGGGGGAAACAGCCAAGAAACCACCUGAGGCAAGAUUAAAAGGACCAGAGAAGCUCAUCAAGAUUAGGAGAGGACCACCUGAGACCCUACACACACCCUAAUCUUGUCAGCAACCCCACCUUGGGAAGUAUUGUUAUAAAACUCCUCAUCAGGGCUUCCCUGGUGGUACAGUGGUUAGGAAUCCACCUGCCAAUGCAGGGGACACGGGUUCGAACCCUGGGCUGGGAAGAUCCCACAUGCCGCGGCGCAGCUAAGCCCAUGUGCCACAACUACCGAGCCUACGCUCUAGAGCCCGGGAGCCACAACUACUGAGCCCGUGUGCCACUACUACUGAAGCCCGCACGCCUAGAGCCCAUGCUCCUCAACUAGAGAGGCCACUGCAAUGAGAAGCCUGUGUACCACAACGAAGAGUAGCCCCCGCUCACCACAACCAGAGAAAAGUCCACGUGCAGCAACAAAGACCCAAUGCAGCCAAAAAAUAAAAUAAAUAAAAAUAAGUUAAUUAAAAAAAAAACUCCUCAUCAAAUCCUCGGGGUGGGGGGGUGGGCACAUAGUUUUUUGAGGCAGGAGCCCGCUGCCCGCUGUGGCCCCCUUUGCCUGGCAAGGUAAUAAAGCUACUCCCUUUCUACUCCUCCAAAGCUCUGCCUCCACAUUUCUAUUCGGCACUGAACAGAGGCCGGGUUUUCGGCAACAAAAUUUGGGGGGCUCGCCUGGUAUCUGACUCGUGGGCCGGCAGCCCCGUGGGGACCCUCGGCUUGAUCAGACGCUCGGAGGUUUCUCUGCACGCCAGCCUCCUUCGGGAGAGCAGAGGUUUGGAGGACUUCUCUGAGGCCAGAUCACUAGGGAUGCCCUGCCAUAGGGCUGUGCCCCGAUAAUACCCGGACUGCCAUCUCAGUAGUCGGAACUCCAAGAUGGAGGUGGAGAACGGGAGAGAGGUUGCCCUAGCAACUGCCAAGGCCACCUUUGCCUUGAGGACACCCCCUCUUCUAUCCACAUCAGCCCGGACUUCCUGCUCUGAGAAAGCAUUUUGGAGAAGGAGAAAAGUAGGAUUAGGUGGUCACAAAGCACCGAGCUGAUUAGAAGCUCAGGUUCCUGAUGUCCCAUCGCAGAAAGAAUUCAGUGAGUGACAAAAUGAUAGGUAAGAAGUGGAUUUAUUUAGAGAGAAACACACUCCACAGAGUGUGAGCCACCUCAGAAGGUGAGAAAGGCACCAGGGUAUGGGGUUGUCAGUUUUUAUAGGGGUGGGUAAUUUCAUAGGCUAAUGAGUGGGAGGAAUAUUCCAGCUUUUUGGGGAAAGGGUGGGGAUUUCCAGGAAUUGGGCCACAGCCCACUUUUGUUUUUUGGUUUUUUUGCGGUACGCGGGCCUCUCACUGUUGCGGCCUCUCCCGUUGCGGAGCCUGACGCGCAGGCUCAGCAGCCAUGGCUCACGGGAUCAGCCACUCCGCGGCAUGAGGGAUCCGCCCGGACCAGGGCACGAACCCACAUCCCCUGCAUCGGCAGGCAGACUCUCAACCACUGCGCCACCAGGGAAGCCCCACAGCCCACUUUUUGAUCCUUAUGGUUGGCCUUGGAACUGUCAUGGCGCCUGUGGGUGUGUCAUUUAGCUUACUGAUGUGUUACAAUGAGCGUAUACUGAGGCUUAAGGUCUAGUGGAAGUCCACUUGUCCUGCCAUCUUGGACCCAUUUGGUUCUAAUCAGUUUAUGUCAUGUCCUUGGACUAUGUCAUUCUUUCAAAGGUUGUUCCCUGCCCCCUUCCCUCCUGUUUCAUUUUUAUGGAUGACCAGAGUUCUAUUCCAUCUUGUAACGGCCCCCCCAGGGUAUUUUUACAAAAUUAGGAGAUCUUCAGCUAUGCCCCCAUGAAAAGGAAUUGUUAUUUCUCUCCCCCAGGGCCCUCCGGAACACUUAUCUAGACCAUCUCUAGUUCCUGAGACUGAAGAAAAAGGCAGGGAAAGAAGGCGUUUUUUGUGGAAGGGGGAAAACUGAGAUCUCUGGUUCCGUCUUUAUGUAAAAGUUAACUUGUAAAUGAGCUCUGUUUAAUUGACUAGAAAGUAAGCUCUUACAAACUAAAUCUAAAUGUCUAGAAAAUUGGCCAAGAUAAAUUUUAGGACCACAUGAUCUGGGAAAUAUUCAGUACUGAAUUGAUAUCUGCUAUUGAAGGUGGCUUAAGCUUGUUGGUUUGAUUAAUAUAGACAUGUCUUAAGAGUCAUCAAUGUUAAAUAAUGCAAGUGAGAUAAGAGCUUUUGGGUAAACUCUUUAGAAAUAAUUGUUUUAGGAAUGUGUACUUAAGAAUAAUCUCUUCAGCUGCUUUGUAGCUUAAAAAUUUAGAGUUAAGUUAAAUGAUGGAAGUUUAUUGAAUAAGUAGGCCGUUUACAAAUAAAAUAAGAUACUGAAACAUUAGUUAGUGAAUAUUGGCUUACCUUGGCAGAGAGAGAAACUAAAGGUAUUUGGUGCCACCCUGAGAUACUCUCCAUAAGAAAGCACAUGUUUUUACAGUUGUGCAAGAUCAGAAUUUUCUAAGAUUGGAUUAAAUCUAAUUGGAUAAAUGGAUUUUGUUGGGAGUGGCCUAAGGCAAGACCAGAUUUGGUUUCUCCCUUCAACAUUUUCUUGGAAUACUGCUUUUGAUAACAGCUUGUAAAUUCCUUUGCCUUUAAGUGAUCUGUAUUUGCGCUGAAAUCUUUUCACUUUGGUUAAGUAAAUAAGUAUUGUUUGGCAGUUUCUAAAAGUUCUUUUGACCUCCAGCUAACUUUGAGAUGCUUCAGAGGGCCCCUGAGUCAUCUCAGAGAGAAAGAUUUAACUAGGAUUAUUUGUUAUGUUAAAUCAAAUGUAAUCAGUUAAAUUAAAUGUAAUCCCGGUUAUUGUAACCAAGUUUCUUUACCGAUUACAUUGCAAUCAGAUGUUUAACUAUGCCCUUUUUUUAAAAGUCUUUCUGUCAUUUAUAGACAGUUAUUAUUGUACUCUGCUUUUACAAAGUGCUUCAUCAUCAAGAUUUAUGUGAAGGACCCCUUUUGACAAAUAUAGAUCUCUGAUAAAUUUCACAUCAUACUGCUGAGCUGGAUAAGAAAAAAAAAAUCUUAAUGGAGAAUCUGAUGGCUUCAUAAAAUGUUAACAAAAGGAUUGGUUACUGAGUGAACUAGUGAAUAUGGUUAUAAUGUUUUUUUGUUUUUUCUUUUCUUUGGUCUGGAAUAUCACUGGUUACUUAAUAUUAUAGACUUACUUUGAAAGCAAAUGUCUUGGUUUGGCUGUGUUCAAUGGAGAUGAGGGUAAUUUUAGGGAAAAAGAUUAUGUUUCAAUAGAUAUAAAAUUCUAGAUCUGUUAAUUAAAGUCUGUAUUUAUGGAAGUUAUUGUGUUAGUCACACUUUUGCCCUGAUGUUUAGGAGAAAAGAAAAAUUACCUAGUAAAGUUAUCAGACUGUAAUUAUUCAUGAUGUAUCACUGUUUGCUUUAGGUCUACUGCUAAAAGCACAUGUACAAUGCUUAUGUGACAAUUGGGCAUAAAUGAUAAAAUGUAUGGCCUAUAAAGCGUUUUCUCCUUAACAUA